AACGAACGCUGGCGGCAUGCCUAACACAUGCAAGUCGAACGAGACCUUCGGGUCUAGUGGCGCACGGGUGCGUAACGCGUGGGAAUCUACCCUUGGGUUCGGGAUAACAGUUGGAAACGACUGCUAAUACCGGAUGAUGACUUCGGUCCAAAGAUUUAUCGCCCAGGGAUGAGCCCGCGUAGGAUUAGCUUGUUGGUGAG
rnacentral:rRNA from 1 species